rnacentral:rRNA from 1 species
GCCCUUCGGGGUACUCGAGUGGCGAACGGGUGAGUAACACGUGGGUGAUCUGCCCUGCACUUUGGGAUAAGCCUGGGAAACUGGGUCUAAUACCGAAUAGGACCACGCGCUUCAUGGUGUGUGGUGGAAAGCUUUUGCGGUGUGGGAUGGGCCCGCGGCCUAUCAGCUUGUUGGUGGGGUAAUGGCCUACCAAGGCGACGACGGGUAGCCGGCCUGAGAGGGUGACCGGCCACACUGGGACUGAGAUACGGCCCAGACUCCUACGGGAGGCAGCAGUGGGGAAUAUUGCACAAUGGGCGCAAGCCUGAUGCAGCGACGCCGCGUGAGGGAUGACGGCCUUCGGGUUGUAAACCUCUUUCAAUAGGGACGAAGCGCAAGUGACGGUACCUAUAGAAGAAGCACCGGCCAACUACGUGCCAGCAGCCGCGGUAAUACGUAGGGUGCGAGCGUUGUCCGGAAUUACUGGGCGUAAAGAGCUCGUAGGUGGUUUGUCGCGUUGUUCGUGAAAACUCACAGCUUAACUGUGGGCGUGCGGGCGAUACGGGCAGACUAGAGUACUGCAGGGGAGACUGGAAUUCCUGGUGUAGCGGUGGAAUGCGCAGAUAUCAGGAGGAACACCGGUGGCGAAGGCGGGUCUCUGGGCAGUAACUGACGCUGAGGAGCGAAAGCGUGGGGAGCGAACAGGAUUAGAUACCCUGGUAGUCCACGCCGUAAACGGUGGGUACUAGGUGUGGGUUCCUUCCUUGGGAUCCGUGCCGUANCUAACGCAUUAAGUACCCCGCCNGGNAGUACGGCCGCAAGGCUAAAACUCAAAGGAAUUGACGGGGGCCCGCACNAGCGGCGGANCAUGUGGANUAAUUCGAUGCAACGCGAAGAACCUUACCUGGGUUUGACNUGCACAGGACGCCGGCAGANAUGUCGGUUCNNUUGUGGCCUGUGUGCAGNUGGUGCAUGGCUGUCGUCAGCUCNUGUCGUGAGAUGUUGGGUUAAGUCCCGCAACGAGCGCAACCCUUGUCCUAUGUUGCCAGCGGGUUAUGCCGGGGACUCGUANNANACUGCCGGGGNCAACUCNA